GCUUCUAAUUUUAGAAAUCUGUAACUUUUUGUACAGCAACCACAAAUAUUAAAUAAGUAGUUGAUUUGUAUGUUUGUAAAACGUCACAAACAUUUCCAGUGCCACAAAAAGAUUGGCACUGACUAUGUCAGACUCACUACACCAGAAAACAGAAAUUGUACCAGAUUUAAACCCAGUGGUCGGCUCAAAAACCUUUAAGAAAAAUAGUUCCAACCUAACUUAAAUUUAAAGUGAUAUCAAAGUAAAGGAUUUAGUACCAAAAUAGGGGCUGACCCUCAUAAAUAUGGACACUUGGGAGGUAUGGGUAAGGAUCCUUUGGUAGUUGUUUUGACAUUUUGUCAUCAAACUAGUAUGGUGACCAGGGGUCAUGUGACCAAGCUCAUGUAGGUCUUUCUUACAGGGGGAUAAGCUUUAACCUUUGAUAUGGUAAUUGGGUAAUUCAAUACAUUUACAAGUCAGGAAAGAGAUAACUACUUCCCCCUAUCCCCAUCCCUUCCUGAUCCUUCUUGGCUGUGCUACUGAGCAGACAUGGGCUAAUUUUAUCAUAGUGAACUUUGAGUGGGAUUUGAUGACUUUAUAAGGUUUAGUUGUUAUUGUCAUUUAGUUAGAUUGUUGUUGUUGUUGUUGUGGGUAUAGUUAGUUAGAUUGUGUGUCAUUAUUUGUAUGUUAUUGUUGUUUUGUCUCUGAAUAAAUAUUUGUUAAAGUAGAUGGACCAUAGUUUACAUGUGUAUGCGUACAUAAUAAUUUAUAGAGUUUGGUAAUUUACCACAGUAGUCACCCUACCAAUACUGCAUUUUAAAGAUCUGAUAUCAAAUUUUG